GGGGAUUUAGCUCAGUGGCAUAAGCACCUGCCUUGCAAGCAGGUGGUCGUGAGUUCGAUCCUUAGUACCGA
rfam:Cavia porcellus supercont2_42 genomic scaffold, whole genome shotgun sequence.